AAACUGGAGAGUUUGAUCCUGGCUCAGAGCGAACGCUAGCGGCGGGCCUAACACAUGCAAGUCGAGCGGGGAACUUCGGUUCUUUAGCGGCGGACGGGUGAGUAACACGUAGGUAAUGUGU
rnacentral:rRNA from 1 species